UUGGAGGGCAAGUCUGGUGCCAGCAGCCGCGGUAAUUCCGGCUCCAAUAGCGUAUAUUAAAGUUGUUGCAGUUAAAAAGCUCGUAGUUGAACUUCGGGGUCUACCCAUCGGUCAGGCUUAAUUGUCUGUACUGGUGAGAUGGAUCUCUACCCUCUGAGGAACUUUCAUGCCAUUUAUUUGGUGUGAUUGGAAAUCAGGACUGUUACUUUGAAAAAAUUAGAGUGUUUAAAGCAGACUAUCGUCUGAAUACAUUAGCAUGGAAUAAUGAAAUAGGACGGACUGAUUCUAUUUCGUUGGUUUCUAGGACCACCGUAAUGAUUAAUAGGGAUAGUUGGGGGCAUUAGUAUUCAAUUGUCAGAGGUGAAAUUCUUGGAUUUAUUGAAGACUAACUACUGCGAAAGCGUUUGCCAAGGAUGUUUUCAUUAAUCAAGAACGAAAGUUAGGGGAUCGAAGACGAUCAGAUACCGUCGUAGUCUUAACCAUAAACUAUGCCGACUAGGGGUCGGACGAAGUUAAUUUUAUAAUGACGCGUUCGGCACCUUACGGGAAACCAAAGUGUUUGGGUUC
rnacentral:rRNA from 1 species